CCGGUUGAUCCCGCCGGAGGCUACCGCUAUUGGAGUUCGAUUAAGCCAUGCGAGUCGCGAGUCUUAGGGACUCGGCGUACCGCUCAGUAACACGUGGGUAACCUGCCCUAUGCUGGGGGAUAACCUCGGGAAACUGAGAAUAAUACCCCAUAGUUCACCACGCCUGGAACGGUGGGUGGACCAAAGCUCCGGCGGCAUAGGAUGGGCCUGCGGCGUAUCAGGUUGUAGGGGGUGUAAUGUACCCUCUAGCCCUCUACGCGUACGGGUGUUGAGAGACAUCGCCCGGAGAUGGAUUCUGAGACACGAAUCCAGACCCUACGGGGUGCAGCAGGCGCGAAAACUUGGCAAUGCGAGAAAUCGUGACCAGGGAACUCCAAGUGCAUCGGGUAAGACCGAUGCUUUUCUUGACUCUUCAAAGGUCUUGGAAUAAGGGGUGGGUAAGGACGGUGCCAGCCGCCGCGGUAAUACCGGCGCCCCAAGUGGUAGUCGCUUUUAUUGGGCCUAAAACGUCCGUAGCCGGUCUGGUACAUUCGUGGGUAAAUCAACCAGCUCAACUGGUUGAAUUCUGCGAGCACGGCCAGACUUGGGACCGGGAGAGGUGUGGGGUACUCUCAGGGUAGGGGUAAAAUCCUGUCAUCCUGAGAGGACCACCUGUUGCGAAGGCGCCACACUAGAACGGAUCCGACGGUCAGGGACGAAGCCUAGGGGCACGAACCGGAUUAGAUACCCGGGUAGUCCUAGGUGUAAACGCUGUGGACUUGAUGUUGGGGGCGCUCCGAGCGCACUCAGUGUCGAAGCGAAGGUGAUAAGUCCACUGCCUGGGGAGUACGGUCGCAAGGCUGAAACUUAAAGGAAUUGGCGGGGGAGCACCGCAACCUGAGGAU
rnacentral:rRNA from 1 species